rnacentral:rRNA from 1 species
AGUGAACGCUGGCGGUAGGCCUAACACAUGCAAGUCGAACGGCAGCACAGUAAGAGCUUGCUCUUACGGGUGGCGAGUGGCGGACGGGUGAGGAAUACAUCGGAAUCUACUUUUUCGUGGGGGAUAACGUAGGGAAACUUACGCUAAUACCGCAUACGACCUACGGGUGAAAGCAGGGGAUCUUCGGACCUUGCGCGAUUGAAUGAGCCGAUGUCGGAUUAGCUAGUUGGCGGGGUAAAGGCCCACCAAGGCGACGAUCCGUAGCUGGUCUGAGAGGAUGAUCAGCCACACUGGAACUGAGAAACGGUCCAGACUCCUACGGGAGGCAGCAGUGGGGAAUAUUGGACAAGGGGCGCAAGCCUGAUCCAGCCAUACCGCGUGGGUGAAGAAGGCCUUCGGGUUGUAAAGCCCUUUUGUUGGGAAAGAAAAGCAGCAGGUUAAUACCCCGCUGUUCUGACGGUACCCAAAGAAUAAGCACCGGCUAACUUCGUG